GCUCUUCUGUUUUUCCCUCGUUUGUGCUGAAAAAGACUUCUUUUUACUUGUACUUUCAAUAUAAUAAACCAUGCUUGAGGAAUUGACCGAAAAGCAUAACUCUUCCGAAGAUGAAAAGAGAAGGGAAGACUAUGAUUCUAUCGAGAAGUUAAGUACUUUGGAAGGUCGAGAGGAGGAGGAAGAAGAUCGUGAGGAUCCAGAAGAUGCCAUGCCUCAAAUUCAAGAGAGAUGCCGAAUUUCUCAUUGUUCAUCCUUCAUUCAAGAACUUGAAAAGUGUACUGCCCGCGUUAACAGCAGAAAGAAAACAACAGAAACUUGUCAACAGGAAGUUUACGAUUUAAUGGAAUGUGUGAAUCACUGUGCUGCUAAAAAAGUUUUUCAAGUUUUGAAAUGAAUAUUUCUAUCAAGUUAUAGCAAGUUAA